UUAUUGGAGGACUCAGACUGACUACACAAAAGAGGAGCCGCAAAAGAAAGCCCAGGCAGGGCCCAAGGGCCCGUGAAGGAUGCCGAGGUGUCCUGGUCAGAUGCAGGAGUUCUGAACCCUUUCAAUUCUGUUGGCAAUCAGGUGGGAGCGGUGGCGAGUAGUCUCAUUUUACGGAUGGAGCACGGGAGGCUCAGAAGGCCAAGAUGGUCACCCGCAUUCACACAGCUGGGAACUCAAUGGUGGAGCUUCUGUUCAGUCUAGAUGCACCCCUGGCUGAACACAGCCAAAUGCCAAGGAAAGGAAUGAGCCCACUUCAGCAUCUCUGAAGAUCUCCCUGGUCACCAGGAAUGAAUUCUGAGCUCAUAUUCUGGAAUGCUGCCAGGAAGAAGGAAGCAGCGUUACUACAAAGCAUCACACAAAAGGCCGCAGCCUAUACACGGAGUUUUAGCACAAGGAAGCCACCAGCUAGCUGGAAGGAAGGAUGGUGUGCAGGGAAGCUGAUCCAUAUGUGCCAGCGGGUGACCAGCCAAACACCAGGGUGAGGAGAGGAGAGG